rnacentral:misc_RNA from 1 species
GUAAAUCACCUCCAUGCUUUAUGUUGCGAGGUAUGUAUUCGUUGUCUGUAUUUCACAAUCGACGAUCACCUCGGACGGCCAGUGUCACGCGCGAUUCUCUUUAAUUAACCGUCAAACGGGGAUCGCGGUACGACUUUGGGGGACCUGCAUCUCUACGUCGAUAUUGGUCCUUGCCUUCUUCGAGGAUCCAGGUGAUAACAAUUUCGGAACUACAUUUAUGAUGCCCACCAGUCAUAAUCCCGGUUGCAUGGAUCUCACCUGCUCCAGAACCUCCCUUCCAUUCCUCCAUCCUGUUUUUCCUCCCACCAGCCCGCGCCUGAACCUGAUUCAGCCCAUUACUUCAAAUAAUUUGUCGUCAUUUGCGAAGACCCGCGGGAAUCGGAUGGACGGUAAUCAACGAAAUCCAGGAUGAACAUACUGCAGGAGAGGAGCUUAGAGUUUCCGAAAUAAAAUUAUCGCAGCUGGAUGUAAUUGGGUCGUUGUGUCUGUAGCAGUUCGCUCUACGAGUAUCUCUACAGGCUUCCUGCUCGAUAAAUUCCAGACAUCGAUCCAAAAUUACCAAUUACAUAAGCAUAAUUUACGCUGAGGUAUAAUGUAUUCAAUUAACUCCGUAAAGUGCUCGGAAAUUGACUCGUUACUUUUUCGUAAAUUCGCCAAUUCGAGCGGUGGGUGAUGUGAUCGCCAGCCCAGCCGCCAUCGAAAACAUCGUUUUCUUCGUGUGAUCGAUUCGGUUCAGAUUCUUUCGUGCUCGAGCAACGAUGGGAUGACGAUGAAAAGUUGAAAGAAAAAAACAAACUUCAAAUCGAAAAUCAAAACGGAAAUUCUUUGCCGUUCCAUUCGCAUUGAUCUUGACCGUUGGAUCAAAAGAUUGACAGAUGUCUGAUUCAAAUUUCCAGAAACAGAGUAUACGAAUAGUUGAAUAUCAAUUAAUGCCUUCUGGUUAAAUAGCUUAAAACAAGGUUCGUGGUUUCAGAAGCCUGUAUUGCGGUUAUCUUGAUGAUAGAUUGAUGUCACUAGUUCAGGGUUUACCUUUUGCUAAGAAAAAUUUCAAGGGCUGUUCAAACGGUGAGCUUAUGAGCUUUGAUGGUUUGCUCGCAUCCACGAGUUCAAUCUCGUUCUUUUCACGGUACCCAAACAAUCACGAUUAUCAUCUGUUUACCCAAACCGUGGCAAUGAGACACCGAAUCAAACUUUAUAAAAAAAAGUGAUACGCCCUGAGAUAUGAACGUGAAAACCGUAACAUAUUCUGCUUUCGAACAUUGUAUGUUGCCUUUUUUUUUCACUUUUGCUGUGAAUCGCGCUGAAUUUGUCCGCAACAAAGUUGAUGUUCCAGCAUCAUUUGUUGCACGAGCAGCGUCCGAAUUGGUCCACUGUUGUCAUAUAAACUUUGGAAUAGCUUUUUUACAGCACGAUCUCAAUGGGCUGAUAUCCGAGUUCGAAAAUUGAAUUACGAAAUGAUUCAGUUUGGAAACAAGUAUCAUUUUGGGUCAUAGCGUUCCAGGUUUUAAGGGAGUCAAAAAAUUUUCAAAGUUCAGCUGACCAUCCUCCGAUUGUCUUAAUCGACAAAUCAUCACUGAACAUGAGGACAAAGAUUUACAGAUGUUUCAAAAUUAUGGCUUUGGAAAAAUUCUAAUGAGAACUACUUUCACCGUUACGGCCGAUAAUUAUCCUUUCCCCCUGUACUCCACCUAGUCGUUGCAGACAAUGUUGCAGAGGACUCGUGGAGACCCACAAAUCAUGGUUGAAUCUAUACAUAGCUCUGUUGCAUGGCCACGUACUCGUUAUAACUGAGGCAAGGUUUCUGAUAAGAAACAGUAACAGCAGCGCUAAUAUCAUCAUCAUCAUCAUCAUCGUCGUCAUCGAGGGGCUCCAAUGAGCUACGAAGACAACGAAGGUAACGAGGUGAUGCGACGUUUUGUAUUAUAACAAAGUGUGCAGCGCUAACCAACCCGCAUGAGGGCACCGUGGCCUGGAUACCUUGACCCACUGUCACGGGUGGAGUAUGUGUUCCUAGACGACGGUAUCUAGUUUACACGGCAAUUAACAAAGCCCAAACAAAGUAAAUCCAUGCGAGAAGCGUGUGGGCUGUCAAGUGCAAAGUAUCAAGACGUCAGAGGAACUCCUACGAGCGGUUGAGUUCCAUGAACUGCUAGCAUUAUCAUUCAAAUUGUUCUAGCCAACGCGUUCAAUUUUUGUCAGUCAGGGGAAUCGUUACCGUACGGAACGGGCUCCCGUGUUCGAUUCGAUCUACAUUUUGUCAGAAAAACAAUUUAAACAUAUUCGCAAUACCGGAAGGGAAAAAUUUUUCGGGUAUUCUGCCGAUUUGUUGUAGCGAAAGUAUCUGACACGAAUUGAUCUUCGUUAUAUUUCGUGGGAGAAUUUUUGAAAAAUAUUUUAACGAAUGCAGAUAAUACCGGUAAACGCGUCGAGGCGUAAGGCGUUAUAAAAUGCGAAACUGUUUCAAUACGUUCGAAUGGUUUAUCCCAUCCCUGGAAUUUGUUCGUCAGGAUCAAUCGGAUAUUUCCAACUGGGUCAGAAUCUCGAAUUGCUGGUACAAUUGUUAGGAUUUUGGCAAAUUUUGAAAGUUCGUUUCGAUUGUGUUAUUUCUAACGUAAUUCGAUAUGUAAUCGUAUCCGGAGUAAAAUAGCAAAUUUGAGUGGCGUGAUGGUCAAGUAAUGAGAUAUAUACCGAAUCUAAAAUCUAUCACACACGAUUUUGUUGUUUUUAUUUGUUUUUAGCGUGACGCAGGAUUCCCACGAAAUCGCCGAAACCUUCAUUGACGGAUUUGACGCAACUGAAACUUCGGAGUAACGUUGAACCGCUGCACGAUUAAUGCCGCCUUGAAUAGUUAUCGCGCUAGAAAUUUAGUCGACAGGAUAAUACCGCGGUGAAAAAGUGGAGUGGCGUUGGCACAAGUCCCGAGAUUAAAAGCAAAGGGGUCAUUAACCAGCCGCACUACCUUUUCAAACUACCCGUUCCAAAAAUCGAUCCAGAAGUGGAACCGUGACGACGUAUGCUCAAAAAAAAAAAAAAAAAAAAAAUAGUACAAAUAGUUCGAAAAUAGUGAACUAUUGCGGCUGACGUGGAUUGAACUUUGACCACUCCGAUUGUCAUUGAAAGCAGAUAUUUGUUCGCAAGAUAUAAUUGAUUACACCGUGAUUUAUAUUCGGAUAUGUAUUUAUCGUAGGUAUACUCCUAAAAAUAUCGGUAUGUAUAUAUAUAUGUACGCGCUUCGCAUUAGCACCAUACCUCGUGUAUCUUACGAUGAUUUAACGCAAAUAUUUGAGAUUUUUUAGAUUAAAAAUGCAGCGUUAACUUUUCAAGGGCAUCGAUUUUUCCACUGCUGUAGAUCAAGCCUUGAAGAUCACGACGUGUCGUUAACGACUGUCGAUUGCAGUAGCAGCUCGUAGCAAGUGUACGUACAUAAAUAUCAAUCGAGAGAAAUAGCCGCAGAGGCGAACGAACUGUGUCGAAAUGUGUCAGCAGCGAAAUAUCAACUACGGUAACGACGCGGUGUCGAUAUUAUUGGUAAAUUUAUCGUGUCCGUUAUGUUAUAGAUUCCGUGUUAAAUCGAUCAUAGCGAUCGUUCAGGAUUUGCCGCGAUCGUUCGCAAAACCGGAUAAACUUUCUCUAUGAAGUGUAUAGGCGGUAAUAAGGUCACUGCUAUUUUUCUGCAACAUUUUCGAACGCAAGUUCAGUGAGACUAUGCGAAGUAUCUCGGUAAAACGUCGAUGAUCGAAACUUCCUUCUCUGCAGAUAACCCGAUCUUCACACUCUUUCGAUUUCGCGCAAGUAUAUUUGCGAAGAAAUUAACAUACGUAGAACCUAAAUUUUCACCAGUGGUUCCCGCCAGUCGCGCGGUUAUUCCGUAUAUAAAUAAAGAUGUAGCACGGAAUUAAAGCCUGUGUGAAAGUGUCCACCACCGGUGUCAGUAGCAAGUGACCAAUAGAAUCAAAUUGAUUGCAACUUCUUGCCGUGCAGUGUCUUCCGAGCAACCUCCGUGGAGAGUCUGAAAUAACAAUGCGUUACGUAGGGACCUUUCUCGGCGUGAUUGCCGUGGCCUUUGCGGCCACCGUUUCCCUGGAGAAUCAGAAGGAGCCGUCGGUCAAACAAGAAUUGACGGCCUCGAGUUCAACGACUGAUGGUUCAAGUGGUGACCAAGUCGACAAAGGAAUUUGGGAAUUCUUGGAGGAUGCUUUCAACAAUUUACCCUUUUCUGGAGGCCAGGAUUCAAAUCUACCAUCGACUCCGGAACCCGUACACAUCCCAAAAAAUUGUCCGCCAUGCGAAUGCGGUAAAACGAAUAAACAUAAUAGGAUUGUGGGUGGAGUGGAAACGUUAGAAAACCAAUAUCCCUGGAUGGCCUUACUAUCUUAUCAAGGUCGUUUUCAUUGCGGUGGAUCAAUUAUAAACGAUCAUUAUAUCCUGACGGCAGCUCAUUGCGUGCAAGGUUUCAAUAAAAAUUAUCUGGGAGCACGGAUUCUCGUUCACGCACGAAAUUCAACUACGAAGUCUGUGGUCCGUGAUUUCAAAAUCUCUAAAGUCAUCAGACACUCCGGAUAUUCAACGAUUAAUUACAACAACGAUAUAGCUCUUCUGAAAGUCCACGCUACGAUAAGUCUCGACGACAAAGUGAGACCAGUUUGCUUACCAGAGUUGACCAAAACAUUUGCCGGAAAAAAUGGAACGGUAACUGGAUGGGGAGCGACGUCAGAGUCCGGGCCGGUAUCGAACACACUCCAGGAGGUUGUCGUACCAAUUCUGAGCAAUGCGGAGUGCAGAAAUUCCAAAUAUCCAGCUCACAAAAUAACCGACAAUAUGUUGUGCGCCGGUUACACGAAGGGCGGAACGGACGCAUGUCAGGGUGACAGCGGGGGUCCUCUCCACGUGAUCAAGGAUUCGAUUCAUUCCAUCGUGGGAAUCGUGUCCUGGGGUGAGGGAUGCGCGCAACCAAAUUACCCUGGGGUAUAUACGAGGGUGAAUCGCUUCAUAACUUGGAUACGUCGGAACACGGAGGACGCCUGUUAUUGCUGAGCUUCGUUCGCGUUCAAAAAUUUUUAUAUCGUGAGGAAUACGUACACCUAAGUUACGGUUUCAAUAUAUCGAAUGAGAAGAAACAGGUGGUGCAGUGAUAGCGCGGACCUUUACUCGACGAUAGCAAAAAAUUUGGAGUUUAGUUCUUCAUGUGUCGCCAGAGAGUAAUACCACUAUUGGGAAAUCGUCGGGUCAUCGAUGUUGAAAUUGUGAAAAGCAUAACACAUUAGUACAUGAGAUGGCACUCGUGAAUUCUAUGCCGCACGCUCUUCAAUUGAGAGUAAAAAGAAAAAGUUUGAAAAAACGUCGAACAAAGAAUCGAGAUCACUCGUCGUCGUUACGAAUGUGGAACCUUUGAUGAGUUUACCUCCUUCACUGUAAAAUUAUGCAACCUUUUGUCACCGUCGAAGAACCGCUGAUUUAACGUCGAAGCCCUGUACAAAGAAGACUGUUUUCAAGCUGACGGUGACCAGAAUUUCGUAGAGUAUUUCGCGACGUCGCGGCAGCUGCGCCACUAACAUUAUAAUUACAUGAAUCAUAGACAUAGAUAAAUACUAAUCUAGUCAAAUAACUGCACGAACUUUCCAUAUUUUAAACAGUCAUUUUAUUUAAAUAAAUAUAAAUCGUUCAUCUU